rnacentral:rRNA from 1 species
CCUACGGGUGGCAGCAGUGAGGAAUAUUGGUCAAUGGACGAGAGUCUGAACCAGCCAAGUAGCGUGAAGGAUGACUGCCCUAUGGGUUGUAAACUUCUUUUAUAUGGGAAUAAAACAGGGUAUGCAUACCCUCUUGUAUGUACCAUAUGAAUAAGGAUCGGCUAACUCCGUGCCAGCAGCCGCGGUACUACGGAGGAUCCGAGCGUUAUCCGGAUUUAUUGGGUUUAAAGGGUGCGUAGGCGGGCUGUUAAGUCAGCGGUCAAAUGUCGGGGCUCAACCCCGGCCUGCCGUUGAAACUGGCGGCCUCGAGUGGGCGAGAAGUAUGCGGAAUGCGUGGUGUAGCGGUGAAAUGCAUAGAUAUCACGCAGAACUCCGAUUGCGAAGGCAGCAUACCGGCGCCCUACUGACGCUGAGGCACGAAAGCGUGGGUAUCGAACAGGAUUAGAUACCCCUGUAGUC